UAGGGAAUCUUCCGCAAUGGGCGAAAGCCUGACGGAGCAACGCCGCGUGAGUGAUGAAGGUCUUCGGAUCGUAAAACUCUGUUAUUAGGGAAGAACAAAUGUGUUAGUAACUAUGCCCGUCUUGACGGUACCUAAUCAGAAAGCCACGGCUAACUACGUGCCAGCAGCCGUGGUAAUACGUAGGCGGCAAGCGUUAUCCGGAAUUAUUGGGCGUAAAGCGCGCGUAGGCGGUUUUUUAAGUCUGAUGUGACAGCCAACGGCUCAACCGUGGAGGGUCAUUGGAAACAGGAAAACUUGAGUGCAGAAGAGGAAAGUGGAAUUCCAUGUGUAGCGGUGAAAUGCGCAGAGGUAUUGGGGAACACCAGUGGCGAAGACGACGUUCUGGUAUGUAACAGACGCUGAUGUGGGAAAACGUGGGGAUGAAAAAGG
rnacentral:rRNA from 1 species